UACAGAGGGUGCGAGCGUUAAUCGGAUUUACUGGGCGUAAAGCGUGCGUAGGCGGCUUUUUAAGUCGGAUGUGAAAUCCCCGAGCUUAACUUGGGAAUUGCAUUCGAUACUGGGAAGCUAGAGUAUAGGAGAGGAUGGUAGAAUUCCAGGUGUAGCGGUGAAAUGCGUAGAGAUCUGGAGGAAUACCGAUGGCGAAGGCAGCCAUCUGGCCUAAUACUGACACUGAGGUGCGAAAGCGUGGGGAGCAAACAGG
rnacentral:rRNA from 1 species